rnacentral:rRNA from 1 species
AAAGUUGCAAAGCACUUUGAAGAGAGAGUUAAAGAGGACGUGAAACCGGUGAGGUGGAAACUGAUAGAGUCGGCGUAUCAUUCAAGUAUUCAGUUACAUUAUUUUUAUGUUGUAAACUCUGAGCUCCAGAUUGGGACAGAGUGAAGCAGCAUAAUUUUUUGUGGUGCAUUUACUUGAUUGGUGCUUGGGGAUGUUUGAGGCAGAUUUGUUUCCGUCGUUUUGAGGCCAGCUUGCUGGUACCCAAACGGUGUUAGCAUUUUUUGUCUUAGACAUUUGAGUAUGGCUUACGGACAUUUAUUGGUUCGAGCUGAGUGUAGGUUACGGUCGCGUGCGACACGUGCUUUUCGUUUAGAUCGGUCCAGUUUAUGCCCCCGUACUCCUUCCCCAUGUAACAUCCGGUCAUCUAUCCGACCCGUCUUGAAACACGGACCAAGGAGUUUAUCGUGUGCGCAAGUUUUUGGGUGUUAAAAACCUAAAAGCGAAAUGAAAGUAAAUGGCUCUUUAGAGUCUGAUGUGCGAUCUAGUAAAAAAGAACAGCAUGGCCCCAUUCUAACUGUUUACAGUAGGGUGGCGGAAGAGCGUACGCGGUGAGACCCGAAAGAUGGUGAACUAUUCCUGAGCAGGACGAAGCCAGAGGAAACUCUGGUGGAAGUCCGAAGCGGUUCUGACGUGCAAAUCGAUCGUCUGACUGGGUAU